CCUACGGGAGGCUGCAGUGAGGAAUAUUGGUCAAUGGGCUUACGCCUGAACCAGCCAAGUCGCGUGAGGGAAGACUGCCCUAUGGGUUGUAAACCUCUUUUGUCAGGGAGCAACGCCGUCUACGUGUAGCCGUACUGAGAGUACCUGAAGAAAAAGCAUCGGCUAACUCCGUGCCAGCAGCCGCGGUAAUACGGAGGAUUCGAGCGUUAUCCGGAUUUAUUGGGUUAACGGGGUGCGUAGGCGGAAUGCCAAGUCAGCGGUAAACUCGCGGGGCUCAACCUCGCUCCGCCGUUGAAACUGGCGGUCGUGAGUGGGCGAGAGGUAUGCGGAAUGCGUGGUGUAGCGGUGAAAUGCAUAGAGAUCAGGAGGAACACCGGCGGCGAAGGCGGCCUGCUGGACUGCGACUGACGUUGAGGCUCGAAAGCGUGGGGAGCGAACAGGAUUAGAUACCCGUGUAGUC
rnacentral:rRNA from 1 species